rnacentral:rRNA from 1 species
GAUGAACGCUAGCUACAGGCUUAACACAUGCAAGUCGAGGGGUAACGAGAGGAAAGCUUGCUUUCCUUGUCGACGACCGGCGCACGGGUGAGUAACGCGUAUCCAACCUGCCCCCAACUAGGGAAUAACCUUGCGAAAGUAAGACUAAUACCCUAUAAUUUCCUCAGAUGUCAUCUGACGAGGAAUAAAGAUUUAUCGGUUGUGGAUGGGGAUGCGUCUGAUUAGCUUGUUGGCGGGGUAACGGCCCACCAAGGCAACGAUCAGUAGGGGUUAUGAGAGGAAGGACCCCCAAAUUGGAACUGAGACACGGUCCAAACUCCUACGGGAGGCAGCAGUGAGGAAUAUUGGUCAAUGGGCGGAAGCCUGAACCAGCCAAGUAGCGUGCAGGAUGACGGCCCUAUGGGUUGUAAACUGCUUUUAUACAGGAAUAAAGUUAGCCACGUGUGGCUAUUUGUAGGUACUGUAUGAAUAAGGACCGGCUAAUUCCGUGCCAGCCGCCGCAGUAA